rnacentral:rRNA from 1 species
GAUGAACGCUGGCGGCGUGCUUAACACAUGCAAGUUGAACGGGAACAUACGAUAGCUUGCUAUAGUAUGUGAGAGUGGCGCACGGGUGAGUAAUACAUGGGAACAUACCUUGAAGUGGGGGAUAACUUCUGGAAACGGAUGCUAAUACCGCAUAUACCCUGAGGGGGAAAGAUUUAUCGCUUUAAGAUUGGCCCAUGGCAGAUUAGGUAGUUGGUGGAGUAAAGGCCUACCAAGCCGACGAUCUGUAGCUGGUCUGAGAGGACGAUCAAGCCACAUUGGGACUGAGACACGGCCCAG